rnacentral:lncRNA from 1 species
UUUUUUUUUUGUAAUUUUUUCCUUGAAGAACCAAAGUAUUUUUUCAGCUGGUUGUUGAAUAGGGUUAAGUCCGCUUGGAUUAGCUGUGCCUUUCAUUACUUUGUUACAGAAAUGCAGUGACUUAUACUAAGACAAUUUAUUGUUUAAAAAAAAAAUUGGCAAGACAACUAUAUGGUUAAGAAUUUCCAGUAUGACCACACCCAAUAACUGUUAUUAGAGUGUUAAUGGAUUAUUGUGUUUUAGGUGACAUAGUUAACUGUAAAGUAACCUGACUCAGUAUAGUUACUGGUACCACAGUGAGGUGAAUAAAACGGGAUUUUCAGAAGUUAGCCUGAAUUUAACUGUAUUUUUAAAUUUAACCUCCAUUAACUAAGCAUCUUUUCUUUGUGGUAGGGUCUACCUUCUGCUUCCCUG